GAUGAACGCUGGCGGCGUGCCUAAUACAUGCAAGUCGAACGAAACUUCUUUAUCACCGAGUGCUUGCACUCACCGAUAAAGAGUUGAGUGGCGAACGGGUGAGUAACACGUGGGCAACCUGCCCAAAAGAGGGGGAUAACACUUGGAAACAGGUGCUAAUACCGCAUAACCAUAGUUACCGCAUGGUAACUAUGUAAAAGGUGGCUAUACUACCGCUUUUGGAUGGGCCCGCGGCGCAUUAGCUAGUUGGUAGGGUAAAGGCUUACCAAGGCAAUGAUGCGUAGCCGAAUUAGGAGGUGGAGCGCCAAAAUUGGGACUGAGCCACGCCCAAAACUCCGACGGGAGGCAGCAGGGGGGAAUCUUCCAAAAGGGGCGAAAGCCUGAUGGAGCAGCGCGGGGGGGGUAAAGAGGGUCUUGGUAUCUUAAACCCCUUUUGUGAGAGAAAAAGGGGGGUGAGAUUAACUUUUCACGUUUGGAGGGUAUCAAAAAAGAAAGCCACGGCUAACUACGGG
rnacentral:rRNA from 1 species